ncrna:unclassified sequences IS605-orfB-I RNA
UCCGGAUAAACUUGUAUCCAUCCAAGAGAAUGGAGCAAGUCACUUUACGGAAUUAAUAUAAGUAAUACAUUUCAGGAUUGAUAAAGACUUACAUAUAAGUGAAAUUCUGAAAUGAUAGGAUAACCGUACGUCCUUUGGUGUGAAACACCAUAAAAGUAAUCUUGAAUAACUUUUGUUAAGUUUUCAAGUUACGGAACA